rnacentral:rRNA from 1 species
UACGAAGGGGGCUAGCGUUGUUCGGAUUUACUGGGCGUAAAGCGCACGUAGGCGGAUUGUUAAGUCAGGGGUGAAAUCCCAGAGCUCAACUCUGGAACUGCCUUUGAUACUGGGUAUCUUGAGUAUGGAAGAGGUUAGUGGAAUUGCGAGUGUAGAGGUGAAAUUCGUAGAUAUCGGGAGGAACACCGGUGGCGAAGGCGGCGACCUGGGUUGACAUUGACGCUGAGGCGCGAAAGCGUGGGGAGCAAACAGG